GGCUAACGCUGGCGGCGUGUCUUAGCCAUGCAAGUCGAGCGGACUUAUGGGGUAACUUAUAAGUCAGCGGCGGACGGCGGAGUAACACGUAGCUAACCUACCCUCUGGACGGGGAUAACCUACCGAAAGGUGGGCUAAUACCCGAUGUAGUCAUCCUGUAUAGGGGUGAUGAAAGGUGGGCUUCUGUUUACAAGCUCAUGCUGGAGGAGGGGGCUGCGGCCUAUCAGGUAGUUGGUAGGGUAAUAGCCUACCAAGCCGAUGACGGGUAGCCGGCCUGAGAGGGUGACCGGCCCGAGGGGCACUGAGAUACGGGUCCCACUCCUACGGGAGGCAGCAGGCUAGAAAUUUGGGCAAUGGGGGAAACCCUGACCCAGUGACGCCGCGUGCAGGAAGGAGCCCUUCGGGGUGUAAACUGCUGUCGUGUAGGGAGAAGGGUACUAAGGUAAACAAUCUUAGUACUUGACGGUACUACAGGAGGAAGCCCAGGCUAACCUCGUG
rnacentral:rRNA from 1 species